CCCUUAGAUGUUCUGGGCCGCACGCGCGCUACACUGUUCGACGCAGCGAGUCUUAACCUUGACCGAAAGGUUUGGGUAAUCUUCAGCAAAGUCGAACGUGAUGGGAAUCGAUCAUUGCAAUUAUUGAUCGUGAACGAGGAAUUCCUAGUAAGUGCAAGUCAUCAGCUUGCGCUGAUUACGUCCCUGCCCUUUGUACACACCGCCCGUCGCUACUACCGAUUGAAUGGUUUAGUGAGAUCUCUGGAUUGACGCUGGCUAGGGGGCGACCCUUGGCCAGACUGUUGAGAAACUGCUCAAACUUGAUCAUUUAGAGGAAGUAAAAGUCGUAACA
rnacentral:rRNA from 1 species